CAAGAAACGUGGUAAUAGCUUCUCCAUAUUUAUUAAAGCUGAAAAAUAAAAUGCUUCAAUAUUUAAUAGUCAUCCAUUGUAUAGAUAAAUGUUUGCUUUCUGGAAUAUUGACUCAGAUAUCUUUUACAUCUUAGAGUUCCAAAUUUUUGUGGUUGUGUAUUUUUCCCUUUGUUCAUGUUAAUGGGCAGGUAAUGUCUUUUGCGCUGCCAUGCUGCCCAAUGGAUACUGAAAAAUCUUGAAUGAUAAAAUUACUUUGAUAUUUUGAACUGCUGCUGUAUUUGCAAGGGUCCUAGUUAAAGGUUUUUAUUUGUUUCUUUCAUCACUUUGAGCCAUGUGGCUAUCUGUAGUAGCUAUAACUUGCUGAAAGCUACUGAAAAAUAUAAAUGUUUGUUGUGAACUAGUUAUAUUGGAUUAGUUAUCUUUCUCUCCAUUUCUUUUGUCAAUGCUUUCUGUCAAACAUUUAGUUGAUGGUUUAAUAUUUUAGUACAGUCACUAAACAUAUGGCUAAUUUGCAUUGGAAGUCAUUCGCUGCAAUUUGUGUAACCUUUGCUUUGUCAUGGUAAAAUCAGUAAAACCAAAUUCUGUUGGUAGGGUAAUAAAAUUUUUUGAUGUGGCUACCAUAUUUAACUUUUUAGCAUAUGUUUCUUAAAAAGAGUGAAAAUUAAAGAAAGAGAGAUAAUUGUUCUUUCUUGCUUCCAUAUUUGCAUGCAAUGUCACAAGGAGAGACAAAGAGUUUGAGGAUAAGGGGGAGAGAAAUGUCUUGGAUGGUCCAUUAAAUGUAAAAGUAUAUGUUAAAUUUUCACAUUGGUUUGGGAGGUAGGGGUAAUGUGCCCUUAUAAAAUUGAGUGCUCCUCCCACCUUGCACAGAGUGAGUUAGGCUUCACCCAUUUUUUAAGAUGGUAUUAGAGUCUCCAUACAACGUUGGACUUCCCAUCAUAAGUGUUUCAUGCUACAGCCUUUAGUCUUGAGCACGAGGGGAGUGUAUUAAAUUCCUAUAUGAUUUAGGAUAGCAAUAAUGUGCUCCUUAUAAGGUCUUGGGUAUUCCAUCCUCCCUCCUUGAGCUAGCUAGCUUUUGGGAGUGAGAUAGGCUUUAAGAAUAAUUUAAAAGUUAAUAUGGUUGUAGCGUCAUAUUUUCUUGCGUGAAUUUGAUUAAGUUUUGAUUCCAAUGAUUUUAUUGUUACAAAAAUUUAAAUGUUGUGAUUUUAAAGUGAGAAAAAAGUGGCCACGUUCACUGAUGAAGUGAAAUUUACUCUUGAUGCAUAUGCUAUUAAGUUACUAAAGUGUCAAAUUUGCUUAGGAUAUAGACUUACUACUGAAGAUUGAAUCUAGACGAGCAGUAUUAGACUGCUAUUAGUAUUUUAUUUUCCUGUAAUUUGGCUGUCUUCAAACUUGGAAAUCAAGUUCUUGUUAUGGUAAGGGUGAUUUUCAUCACAACGGCAAAGGUAGCUUCUGAUCAAGUUUAUGUUCUCUCCAAUUUUUGUGGCUGGUAACUUAUUCAGAAAUUCCAAACUUUUUCUUGGUUUGUUUUGCUUUGGAUAUGAAGGCUGGGGUUCCUUUUUAUUGAGAAAACAUGUGGCUGCAAUAAGGUCUCUGCAUUCAUUAUCCUUGGAAUUUUGUUUUUUGUAUCUUGUGACCAUAUGAAGGCUAGCUGAUCCACUGAUUUACUAUUUGGUGUUUGCUAAAAUUUGCUGACCGUGCUCCAUUGGAAUUGUGAAUUUGACCAAUCCCAUGUUGAUAAGACCAGAAGUUACAGUGUCGCAUUAAGCAUGGAAUGAUCACUAAGGUAUUCUACAAUCUCAUCUUUAGUUGAAAUUUAGAUGUGUAAUAAUUAUUAGGUAGAGUUGAUAUUUCACCAAUUUACAGAUACAAAUUUCACUUCAAAGAAGAAUAGUUGUUCUAUGACCAUAAAAUAGCUGCUAGAUUGUACUCUAUGCUAUGAUCCAAACAGAACUUUUGUUUUUUGUGCAUGGUGGAAGAUCAGAGCUGGCUUUAACAGGACCGAAAAUAGCGAUUCCACCAUUUUUGUACAAGUAUUUUGAUAGCAAUUAUAGAUCUUUGUUCUUUAAUUUUUGCUACUAAAUCUCAUUCUGAUGCUGUUGGGGCAGGAGGUUUUGAUCUUUAUGAAAUUCUCAUGUGUAAGAAAAACUAAUUUCCUGCAAUUAAAAUAAUUCUCGUUCUGUUCUUGACGAAGAUAAAAUUACAGGGAUUUCUAUAUGUGUUUUAUGUUGUUGUCUAGGUAUGGAUGCUAUUGCUGUGUAAGAAACGUAUGAAUGAAGUUGCAGAUGGCUGUUUUAAUGAAUUGAAAUUACGUGAGAAAGCUUCUAAUAUCUUUAGUCCUUUUCUCCCCCUUCCUCUCUUGUCUUCAGUAUUUUACCUCUGAUUAUGGCAAUACACAUAUAUGCACAAUAAGAACCUCUACAUUAUUGGUCUUGUAGUGUAUACAUGAUAUUAACUUGGAAAGAUUGCCUUUGUCUUGGCUCUUUUAAAGUCUGCAUGAAGAAUUGAGGGGUACCAAAUAUGUGGUGUUGGUGAAUUGCGUUGCUGGCUUACAGAAAGUAUACAAGUUUGAUUGAGAGUUUAGCAAGUGGGUCCUCAUUGAUUGAAAGAAAAUUACGAAUCUCCCACCUCUUGACAUGGAUGGCUUGGUAUUUAGCCUAUUUGUUAGCUGCCCAAGUUGUUAACAUUUGCUGCAAUUUUCAUGCAUUCUUUCUCGUGGAUACGAGACCUUAUCCUCUAAAUGCACCACACGCAUCACACACACGCGCACCGGAUAGUGAGAAUAUCUCGUGCGCGCACGCUCUCUCUCCUUAAGUUUGUUCCUUCACAUACUUGCUCACAUGCGUGACAAAUAGUUGAGAAUAUCAUGUUCAUAUGCGAAGAUAUGGAUUUUUUUUUUUCGCCAAUGAUGAUUUUUAACAAUUCAUUCUCAUAUUACCUAUAGCUAACUGGUUGCUGUGUGUUGGCUACUGAUAGAGCACUACACUGCUCUAAGAAAAAUUAAAAAUGCUGGGGUUAAUUUUUGCUCCUAGGAGUACAGCCACCAUCUGUUUUCCAGCAUCUGGGUAAAUAUUGGACAACUUCAUGUGGCGUCAACUGUAAAAGGGUUGGUUGCCAAAAUAUAUGGCUGAGACAUUAUCAUGCAAGAUGCGAGGUAUAGCAUGUAGAGAUUGAUGAAGCUCUCAUAGAAGACAUUAAAGCCAAUUAUACUUCAGAUGCUGCAAGGCUAAGGCACGGUACUCAUAGUGAUGGAUUGAGCUAUUGUGUUUUGUUUUUAUGAAGACUAUGAAAUAACAUUGGAUCCCAUUGAACUAGGUAGAGGCCGAGGCCGAGGUGAUCCAGAAAUUGUUCGUGGUCGAGACAUUAUAGCCACUGCACCUUCUUCAGCUGACUUUAGAGCCCCAGCACUUACUCCAACAACCCCUGUAUCAUACUUAGCCCUUGCAGCCCCUCCACUUGCUCCAGUUGCCCCCAUUGCCCCAACUUCUUCAAGUUCUGUUCCUGGAUCGAGUGCUAGUCGAUCUGCAUCCUCAUUCUCAUCACAUGCUACUAGGACCUACUGUUAUGUGCAUGCAAGCGGAAAUCUUAUGCCUUUUGAGAAGACAUUUUUCAAAAGUACAAUGUUAAGGAGGGUUCUUCCUGGAAGAAUAUCCCACAAUCCACAAAAACUUUUUAUUUCAGAGAGUUUGAG